UACCAGUCGAAGUCAGAGUCAGAACCAAUAAGAAAUAGGUCCGGAACAGAGAAUUUAGUACAAGUCCAGGAAGAGGCAAAGUGUUAUGUUGUUGCCAACUGUACAGUUUUGGCUGUGAUUUAUUUACAAUAAACUAUUGCGUAACUUUGGAGCCUUGAGUUGUCAGGUUCUUUGGAUUGGCUGUGUUUUGUGGUGCAGUUUACUGAAAGCCUGGAUAGUGCGAAACUUUACAAUAUUACAAAUAAAGUUAUAGUAGGUUCUGUUUUACAAAGAUUUGCAAGAGACACUUUGUUAAAGAAGACUACUGUACUGCUACUUCUUUCAAAAAUUGUUCAUAUCGCUGUAGAAAUGGGAAGAUAGUAAAAAAUUUAUUAAUCACUAAAUAGAAUAUAUAGUAAACUGAAAAAGACAGCCAUUCCCUCUGUAUUUAAAUGGACUUUGGACAAAAAGAAGAACAGAAAGAAAAUGUUGCGAACAAAUGAACACUGAAGAAAUAUCUACAUGCU